GAUGAACGCUGGCGGCGUGCCUAAUACAUGCAAGUAGAACGCUGAAGGAGGAGCUUGCUCUUCUGGAUGAGUUGCGAACGGGUGAGUAACGCGUAGGUAACCUGCCUGGUAGCGGGGGAUAACUAUUGGAAACGAUAGCUAAUACCGCAUGACAACAGUUAUUGCAUGAUAACUGUUUAAAAGGGGCAACUGCUCCACUACCAGAUGGACCUGCGUUGUAUUAGCUAGUUGGUGAGGUAACGGCUCACCAAGGCGACGAUACAUAGCCGACCUGAGAGGGUGAUCGGCCAAACUGGGACGGAGACACGGCCCAGAAUCCUACGGGAGGCAGCAGUAGGGGAUCUUCGGCAAUGGACGGAAGUCUGACCGAGCAACGCCGCGUGAGUGAAGAAGGUUUUCGGAUCGUAAAGCUCUGUUGUAAGAGAAGAACGAGUGUGAGAGUGGAAAGUUCACACUGUGACGGUAUCUUACCAGAAAGGGACGGCUAACUACGUG
rnacentral:rRNA from 1 species